UGACUCUAAAAAUACAUUUAAAUAGCUGUAUGAUCCAGAAAAUUUUCUUGAAAGUUGUAGUUUAUCUUAUCAGAACUGAAUGAAGAUAAUUCAGCUACAUGAUAUCAACAAUUGUCAAGAUUUGUGGGGCACCUGUGAGGUUAAAACUGUUUUCAUAAUAAUGCUAAGAUGUUAAUUUGCCUUUCUUACUCUUAUUCUCUCACACAGGUCUAGUGGAAUUUUCUGAGGCUACAAAAUGUGUGAUAUCUCACAUUCGGUAUAGUAGCAGAUAUGAGAAAUAGCCAUAUAUUGAAGAGAUUUACAGAAAUGUAAAAUAGUGUCUUUCUUCCUUCCCUCACUUUUACGUAUUUAUUUAUUUAUUUUGAUGAACUCUUGCUCUGUUGCCCAGACUGGCCUGCCUAGGAACUCAGCUUCGUGGAUCCUCCUGCCUUAGCUUCUGGAGGAGCUGGAACUGUAACAGUAACAGGCAUGUGCCAUUGUGCCUGACUUUCAUUAACUUUUUCUUUAUUUUGAAAGACAUUUUUUUUUAAUUAAAAAUUAUUUUGUUUAUAUUAACAUGUUAUGGGCUUAUUGUUAUUUUUAAAUGAAGUAAUAAUAUGUUUCAAUUUUUAAUUAAUCCUAUAUUCAUUUCCAUCAAAAUAAA
rnacentral:lncRNA from 1 species